rnacentral:lncRNA from 1 species
GGGACCUUUCUUUCGUCAUUGAUCCACUUCGAUUCUCCAUGCACACCUUCUUUCCUGCCAGCUCAGAAGAGCUUCCUUGAUGUUGAAAGCCCUCUCGGCUCCCCUCACCCCGGGCUUCUCAGCGUCAGUAAGGCCUGGUAGAUCAUUCUCACCCUUCUGGACAAUCACCAAGUUGAUAACAGACAGGUCUUGGCUGACAAUGCAACCACGGACGGACUUUCUCCUGCGCUCACCAUUACGCCUGCAAAAACCACGGAAGCAAGGUGUGCCCCUGUAAAGCAAAAGGCGAACACGCCCAGAAGUAAGCACUCCUUGCUUCAUCGGAAAACCCUGCUUAUCAAAGCCACCCAGGACCUUGAAGAUAUAACCUUUGAAUUCCUCACCCGGAAGAUCACCAACUACCUCAAGGAAAGAAGGUGAGCAAGGAGGAAAGAAGGUGAGCAAGGAGGAAAGAAGGUGAGCAAGGAGGAAAGAAGGUGAGCAAGGAGGAAAGAAGGUGAGCAAGGAGGAAAGAAGGUGAGCAAGGAGGAAAGAAGGUGAGCAAGGAGGAAAAAAGGUGAGCAAGGAGGAAAGAAGGUGAACAAGGAGGAAAGAAGGUAAGCAAGGAGGAAAGAAGUUGAACCAGGAGGAAAAUGAGGGAACCAAGGAAGAAACAACUUUAACAAGGCGAUAGGAUUUUCAGGGAGAUGAAAAAUUUGGGACCUCGGUGUUCUUAUUUCGUCCACGAUAGAAUUUGCAAUCGUCAUAGGGGAUUUGCAUAUUCGACUUGUUCUGUGGCGUGCGGCACAUCAUCGUCGGUGCGUUUUCUUUAGCGUCCGCGUCCCCUCAGCCGUCCAGGGCGCGGGGGCGGGGUACUGGGAUUGGUAGCUGGCGUCUUCGCCUUGCGGCUUUCGGCCUGGGGCUUAAGUCCCGCACUAUCGAGAAAGGACGCACCUUUCACAGGGAAUCUUAGGGGUGUAGGAGGAAAGGAAAUCUUUUGUCUUUUUUCCUAAGGAGUAUGGUGAUUUCUAACGUCUUGCCGCCCCCCCUAGUGGUCGGGGGUUGGAGUUAAUAGGAAUUAGGACCCUUACUCUUGUCUUUGUUUAAAAAAACCACCCGGCCCCCUUGGGGGGGAUAAGUUCAAGGCUCCGGUUAUAUUUUUCCGGGAGACCAAGUCCAUACCCCGCCGAGUUUUUGGUUAUUUAUUCCCUUUUUUUUUUCUCCAAGGGCCCGGGGGCCCCUCUCGACCCCCGCGGCGUGCGGUGGAUUCCUUUAUUAGGGAGGGGGAGGGGGAGAGGAGGAAAGCGUGGGGCGCGGGGGGGGG